AAAGGGCAUGCCCUUUACCUUCAAAAACAAGUUUUUUACCUCAAAAAUUCCCCCAAAAACCCCAUUACAGAUCUGAGUCCAGAUUUUUGAAUUUCAAAUCAGUAGAGAUCAAACUCUUCUUCUAGUUCUUAGUUCUAAAACAAAAAACCAAAAAAAAGAAAAUGAAAAUAUAGCAAAAGCAAAAAAAAGGCAUUGUUCAGAGUUCUAGCUACUGAGUUGCAAUUUCUGGGUCAUUGUUUGUUUAUUGGAGCUUUUGAGGUUUAUUGGUUGGUUUUCAAGUGAUUUUGGGGUCAUUGGAGUUGGUUUUAGUUGAUCUGGUCACUCUGGGUGAUUUCAAACGUUUUCUGGUUUGUUUUUGAUCAUUUGUUGUUGGUAUUCAUACUUCUGGAUAUUGAUUGGUAUUGUUUGAGCUAUUUCGGUUGUGUGCUUGGUUUUCUGGAGAUCCUGGAUUCAAUUUCAAGAGUUUUUGAGCUUAUUCGAGUGGUAUUGUUAAGUUUCUGAUGCUGUUUGGUUUCGAACUUCUCCUGGGUUACUGAACCUAUUUCUGGUUAACUGUUCGAAUUCUGCUUGCUAUUGCUGCUAAUCUCCUGUUUCUUCUCUUUUCAUUGUAUUCUAGGUACAUUACGAGACUUUGAUGUAUCUCCUAUUGUGCUUAAUCCUAGACAAGUAUAAAUCAUAUAUUAUCUUUUCUCCUAUGACAACUCAAGCAUGCAUUUCUCAGAAAGACAAAUUGGAUAUCAAAUAGGCUUUAGGAAAUGAGGCCUCAAAGGACUUCUGCCCAGAUAUUCGUUGGGUCAAUUAUAAGCCCAAAAUGAAGGCAUUUUCCUACUGGGUCGUCCAUUUACUCAUGUCGCCCAGUCUGAUCUAGCUCCCUUGGGCAUGGGUUGGUUUAGAAGCCCACUCUUAAAAGCUAUUCUUGGGCUGUCUCUACUGAGUAUCCAUUUAUCAGUGUUAAUUAAUUAGGGCUUUUCCUUUUAUUCAUAGAGACAAAUUAAAAUAAAAAAUUAUAGGUUGUUUUAGGAUUGCCUUUUUAAUAUAAUAAAUGAGAUGAGCCUGCCAAAAUAAAAUACAAAAUUGCGGGGCCUUCAAUAAAUAUUGCAUUAAUUUUUAGACUUCGGGAUGUGCCGUUUAGCAAAUUUUACGGCCUUCCCCAAAAUAAUAACGCGUUAGUCUCUUUAGGCACGAUUUUAAUAAAAUUACCUUCCUAAACUCAGGUGUGUAUUUUAUGUGACCCAAAUCAAAUUCCAAAACGUUGAAUAAAAUGUGUUUAGGAUUGCGGGUGCAUUUCAUGUGACGCGAUCCAAAGGCACGUUUUAAACGACGUUCAACAUUGUUUAAAAAAAUUAAAUGAAAAGCGGUUAAAAGUUAAAAUCGGCACAUAGGUUCAUCAUAUAAUAAAAUCAGAUAAAUAAGCUCAACAUGACAGUUGAGCGACCAUGCUAGAACCACAGAACCCGGGAAUGCCUAACAUCUUCUCUCGGGUUAACAAAAUUCCUUACUCGGA
rnacentral:lncRNA from 1 species